rnacentral:rRNA from 1 species
GACAGAGGGUGCAAACGUUGUUCGGAUUUACUGGGCGUAAAGCGCGUGUAGGCGGCUUGGCAAGUCGGAUGUGAAAGCCCACGGCUCAACCGUGGAAGCGCAUCCGAAACUGCUUUGCUCGAGUCUCGGAGAGGAAGGUGGAAUGCUUGGUGUAGAGGUGAAAUUCGUAGAUAUCAAGCAGAACACCUGCGGCGAAGGCGGCCUUCUGGACGAUGACUGACGCUGAGACGCGAAAGCGUGGGUAGCAAACAGG